UACGAAGGGUGCAAGCGUUGCUCGGAAUCACUGGGCGUAAAGGGCGCGUAGGCGGCCAUUCAAGUCGGAGGUGAAAGCCCAGGGCUCAACCCUGGAAUUGCCUUCGAUACUGUCUGGCUAGAGACCGGAAGAGGUAAGUGGAACUGCGAGUGUAGAGGUGAAAUUCGUAGAUAUUCGCAAGAACACCAGUGGCGAAGGCGGCUUACUGGUCCGGUUCUGACGCUGAGGCGCGAAAGCGUGGGGAGCAAACAGG
rnacentral:rRNA from 1 species